rnacentral:rRNA from 1 species
AACGAACGCUGGCGGCAGGCUUAACACAUGCAAGUCGAGCGCCCCGCAAGGGGAGCGGCAGACGGGUGAGUAACGCGUGGGAAUCUACCCAUCUCUACGGAAUAACGCAUGGAAACGUGUGCUAAUACCGUAUACGUCCUUCGGGAGAAGGAUUUAUCGGAGAUGGAUGAGCCCGCGUUGGAUUAGCUAGUUGGUGGGGUAAAGGCCUACCAAGGCGACGAUCCAUAGCUGGUCUGAGAGGAUGAUCAGCCACACUGGGACUGAGACACGGCCCAGACUCCUACGGGAGGCAGCAGUGGGGAAUAUUGGACAAUGGGCGCAAGCCUGAUCCAGCCAUGCCGCGUGAGUGAUGAAGGCCCUAGGGUUGUAAAGCUCCUUCACCGGUGAAGAUAAUGACGGUAACCGGAGAAGAAGCCCCAGCUAACUUCGUGCCAGCAGCCGCGGUAACAC